UUGGAGGUUAAGAAGGUGAGGCCAGUUAAGACCAUGUGGCUCUCGCUGAUACCCACCUCCCACAGCAAAGCGGCUGAGAGAACAACUCCUGCCAUUAGCCGGCCGUGGUUACAUCUCAGCCAACAAUU
ensembl:scaRNA